AAGAGCUCCUAGGUUAAGCUUGAUUUAAAUUUGCAUACAUUUUCAUAUAUUUAGCAGAAAUAAAAGAAGGCUUGCAGCUACCAGAAAGUCAUUAAGGCAUUAGUUUCCCCGGGAAGACAGAUCUGAAGAAAAUUCGGGAAAAAUGGGGGAAAAGCGUAGAGGCAAGGUGGUUUGAACAAUGGAGAUCUGUGAUGUCCCAGCUUUUUGGAAACUUUUAUGCUCAAGCCAAGAGGUUACUAUAGAUGGAGCUAAUCUGUGAGCACUGGUGGUGUGCUCCAGCUGUGGCUGGGCCAAGCUGGGCCACGGAGAGCCCAUGGGAUCUGCUGAAGGAACCACCAAGAUCUGCUGUGGGAGCACACGACUACGAGUGGCCCAGCUAUCGAGUGCCUGAGAAUAAGUGGUUUCUUCCACAGGAAAUGACCAGAGUUUCUUGAAUCCCACUGAGAAUGAACAGAGCUGAUCUGUAAGUCUGUGAUAUCUGCUGCCUCUCAACACAGAAGAGGGUAUCAUUGGGCCUUUCUUGUUCAAGACUGGCAUUUUCGCGGCUCAGCACCAAUGCAGUCUGACAGCAGCAGCAUACAGACGCACAUUCGUGGAGGACAGAUGGUCCUUGACUGUACAGGAAAUAAUUCUCCACCCUUUUUAGGACAAUGCGCAACAGGAACAGAAGUGCACAGUGGCGAGUUCGUGGUGGCAGAAGGAUGAGAAGGACAGAGGUUUCUGAUAUGGUUUGGAUACCGCUGUCACCAAGCAGAAGAGCUGUCAUACUGAAAUACUUGAUCAAAGCUGAGAACACGUAUGGAUUAAUUUAUUGGAAAGUCAAGAAAACAACUACAGUUUUUUCACAAAUAUAAUGCAGAAACCUUGUGUAAGAGGAGAAAAUGUUAAAAUAACCAAGCACCUGAAGGAGUUAAAAAAGAGUGAUGUUAGAGCAAAAAGAAAGUGUCAAUAGUUUUUAGAGAAGUUUCAUGAAGUGGAAAUAUUUGUAUUCAAAAUCGAUGACUAUUUUGAAAUCAAAUUGACUUGUGUUUAAUUAUUUGCUCAAAGCAGCUUUAUAGUCAGGGAAGCCCUCAUAACCUGUAUCCCACUUUUUAAAAUAUAUCCAAUUCCAUUCUGAAAUCUUGAAAGACAGUAAAAGAUACCUGGAUGUCUGAUGUUUUGGUGUACUGCAAGUAGAUGGAAGUUGUUAGGGCUUUCCAGAAACGUUAUUUCAGAAUAUUUGAAUAACACAACUUUUGGACCAAGUGCUAAACAGUUCCCGUGCUUUGGGAUCCUGGAAAGAUUUGGAUACUUUUUUCAUGGCCUCGGUUGUUUCUGGGAGUGCACUGCACACGGAAAGAGUUGGGUAAGUUACUUCAAAGAUGGCAGAAAUACAAAUUUGUAACCAACUGGCUGUGUGUGUGAUGGGGAUGCUUGGUCACUAUGAGAUGGACUAGUCACGUUGAUGCUUUUCACGUACAUCACUUUGUAGAGUGACAUCUCAGCACCAGUGAAGUCAACCAGGAGUUUCACUGACAUCAGUGGAGCCAGAAUUUCCUCUCAGGUCAGCAGCAGCAGCUGAUGAAGAGAACCGUGUGCUGUUGACCCAGGGCAAUUUCAAGUCAGUGAUGUAGAAGUGAAAAAAUUCCAUGUCACAUAACUGAUCUUACCAGCAACCCACAGACCUAAAUUUCACUUUGGGUUUUCUGCUGUUUCCAUUCUCAUUGCAACUAUAUAAUGUGUUAAGACAUUGUUUUUAAGAUACAAAAUAUUUAAUUUUUUAAUAGAUGGGUAAUUUGUAGAAGACAUUUGUGUAAUUUUGUAGUGUGAUUUAUUUUUAUAAAUAAAUUUGCAUAAAAUCUCCA